rnacentral:tRNA from 2 species
GCGCCUAUAGCUUAAUGGUAAAGCUCCGCUCUGUGGCAGCGGUCAUACGGGUCCGAUUCCCGUUAGGCGCC